CCACUACUGAUCCAGAAAGGUACAGGACACUGAUUACCACACCACUACUGAUCCAGAAAGGUACAGGACACUGAUUACCACACCACUAAUGAUCCAGAAAGGUACAGGACACUGAUCACCACACCACUAAUGAUCCAGAAAGGUACAGGACACUGAUUACCACACCACUACUGAUCCAGAAAGGUACAGGACACUGAUUACCACACCACACCACUAAUGACCCAGAAAGGUACAGGACACUGAUUACCACACCACACCACUACUGAUCCAGAAAGGUACAGGACACUGAUUACCACACCACACCACUACUGAUCCAGAAAGGUACAGGACACUGAUUACCACACCACACCACUACUGAUCCAGAAAGGUACAGGACACUGAUUACCACACCACUAAUGAUCCAGAAAGGUACAGGACACUGAUUACCACACCACUAAUGAUCC